AUUUAAUAUCACAAUCAGUUUUAAGUCAUGUAUGCUACCCUUCAUCUCAGAGCACUAUAUUCACAUAAACCAUAGUCUCCAGAACAAUAACUCUUGGAUCGCUUUUUCAAAAUUCAUGUUGAUGAUAGUUGCCCUUCUUUUGAUCAACAUCAACUCCCAACCCUGUCACUAAUCUAAUUGAUUAAUACCCUGGUAUUCACCACCUGGGUAUUAAAACCCUAUCAGAGGGGUUU
rnacentral:lncRNA from 1 species